GUCUUUUGUUUCGGUAAAUAUGUGGUUUAAUUGAUUUUUGAAAAGUCUAGCGACAUUCACUUCAGCAGUUGAUUUAGUUUUUCCAACAUCUGUCUUUCAUAUCUCAGAAAGUUUUUAAAGAUUAAACGAUCAGGGGAAAUAACUUGUUCAAUACAAAUGAUUUGAUUUAAAUCAGUGUCAGAAAAAGAAGCUUUGAAAUUAAAGAUGAUUUCUUUCAUGAUAACUUUAUUUUGCUUUUAAAAUCAAUUAAAGAUCAGCUCCAACUACUAUUACCUCCAAUUUUGUGAGACAUAAAUUAAUUAAAAAUAAAAUGCUUGUGAAAAAUUCUCUGUGAACACAUAUACAUAAUCUAAUAUACAAUAAUUAAAAAAAAUUAUUAAUUUGAACCAGCCAUGUGCUAGCCAUCUAAAAAUACUGAUUCCUUUUUAUAUGGGACUGUCUGUCAGUUUGGUUCUACAGUAGUGACUGAAGUAUUAACAGUUGUUCACAGAAGUAUUAACAGUUGUUCACAGAAGUAUUAACAGAAGGAUGUAAACAGUGAUCUAAUGUCUUAUAUAAGCUGCAGAAGUUAAAAUAACAAAAGAUGAUGCCAAUCUGAUCUUUAAAUACUCUUCAGCAU
rnacentral:lncRNA from 1 species